UUGAUCCUGGCUCAGGAUGAACGCUGGCGGCGUGCCUUAAGCAUGCAAGUCGAACGGGAUUUUGGAGUCGCAAGAUUUUAAUUUUCAGUGGCGGACGGGUGAGUAUAAGUACGGAACGUACCCUAAACUAUCGCAUAGCUCGUCGAAAGACGGGGUAAUUCGGUAUGUGAUCGCAAGAUUAAAGAGCGUAACAACUCGGUUUUGGAGCGGCCUUAUGUCUAUCAGCUAGUUGGUGGGGUAAAAGCCUACCAAGGCGACGACGGAUAGGGGGUGUGAGAGCACGACCCCCCACAAUGGCACUGAGACACGAGCCAUACAUCUACGGAUGGCAGCAACUGGGAAUAUUCGGCAAUGGACGAAAGUCUGACCGAGCGACGCCGCGUGAGGGAUGAAGGUCUUCGGAUCGUAAACCUCUUUUGCCAAGCAGUCGAUGCUUGGAGAAUAAGCACCUACAAACUACGUGCCAGCAGUCGCGGUAAUACGUAGGGUGCAAGCGUUAUCCGGAUUCACUGGGCGUAAAGUGUCGUGUAGGCGGUAUACCGCAUCGUGUCUGAAAGCCCGAGGCUUAACCUCGGCGUUGGACACGAGAUGGGUAAACUUAGAGGAAUGGAGAGGAAAGGGGAACUCAUGGUGAAGCAGUGAAAUGCGUUGAUAUCAUGAGGAACACCGAAGGCGAAGGCACCUUUCUGGCCAUUAACUGACGCUGAGACACGAAAGCUAGGGGAGCGAAGCAGAUUAGAGACCUGCGUAGUCCUAGCCCUAAACGC
rnacentral:rRNA from 1 species